rnacentral:tRNA from 1 species
GCAUUCGUGGCCGAGUGGUUAAGGCGGUGGAUUCAAGACCCACUGACGCAAGUCUCGCAGGUUCGAAUCCUGUCGAAUGCA